UACGAAGGGGGCUAGCGUUGCUCGGAAUUACUGGGCGUAAAGCGCGCGUAGGCGGAUUAGCCAGUCAGAGGUGAAAUCCCAGGGCUCAACCCUGGAACUGCCUUUGAUACUGCUAGUCUUGAGUUCGAGAGAGGUGAGUGGAAUUGCGAGUGUAGAGGUGAAAUUCGUAGAUAUUCGCAGGAACACCAGUGGCGAAGGCGGCUCACUGGCUCGAUACUGACGCUGAGGUGCGAAAGUGUGGGGAGCAAACAGG
rnacentral:misc_RNA from 1 species